rnacentral:lncRNA from 1 species
GGGUCCAGUCGGAAUCUACUUUCACAAAAAAGAAGAAGAAAAUAUCCAAAUUAUUCCAAACAUGAUUGAGGUUAUUAAUAACAGUAACUUAAUAUACAUCAAUAUAACAAAAAUUGUAAUCACAAGAUUGUAAAAAAUUGUAACAUCACAUUGUAAUCACAAAGAUGACAUGCAUUAUCCAUUUUCAAAGCGACUAAAUUAAACUAAAUAAAGUGUCCAUAUAAGUAGUAAGAAUACCUAUAGGACUCAAAAUUCCAGUGGCAGCG